rnacentral:misc_RNA from 1 species
AAGUCGUAACAAGGUAUCCGUAGGUGAACCUGCGGAUGGAUCAUUAUAGUAUUUUUUUGCUAUGUUUAUUAUAUGUGCAUUGUAUUAUCUACUCUAUUAUGAGUAGAUGAUGUUAUUUAUUGUAUUACUGAUUUAGUUAAUGUUAAAAAAUUGAAAAACAACUUUUAGCAACGGAUCUCUAGGCUCUC